rnacentral:rRNA from 1 species
AGUGCAUAUGGUGGAUGCCUUGGCGAUUACAGGCGAUGAAGGACGUGAUAGUCUGCGAAAAGGUUCGGGGAGCUGGCAAAUAAGCUUUGAUCCGGACAUGUCCGAAUGGGGAAACCCACCCGCAAGGGUAACCGCUCCUGAAUAUAUAGGGAGAUGGUGGCAAACCUGGUGAACUGAAACAUCUAAGUAGCCAGAGGAAAAGAAAUCAACCGAGAUUCCGUAAGUAGUGGCGAGCGAACACGGAACAGCCUGUUAUUUUUAGCACAUGCGAUAGUAGAACGGAAUGGAAAGUCCGGCCAUAGAGGGUGAUAGCCCCUUAUACGAAAUCCCGUGUGUGGAACUAGGAUAACGACAAGUAGGGCGGGGCACGAGAAACCUUGUCUGAACAUGGGGGGACCAUCCUCCAAGGCUAAAUACUCGUAAUCGACCGAUAGUGAACUAGUACCGUGAGGGAAAGGCGAAAAGAACCCCGGGAGGGGAGUGAAAUAGAUCCUGAAACCGUAUGCAUACAAACAGUGGGAGCGGACUUGUUCCGUGACUGCGUACCUUUUGUAUAAUGGGUCAGCGACUUACAUUCAGUAGCAAGCUUAACCGAUAGGGGAGGCGUAGCGAAAGCGAGUCCGAAUAGGGCGUUCAGUUGCUGGGUGUAGACCCGAAACCAAGUGAUCUAUCCAUGGCCAGGAUGAAGGUGCCGUAACAGGUACUGGAGGUCCGAACCCACAAAUGUUGAAAAAUUUGGGGAUGAGCUGUGGAUAGGGGUGAAAGGCUAAACAAACUUGGAGAUAGCUGGUUCUCUCCGAAAACUAUUUAGGUAGUGCCUCGUAUAUCAUUCUCGGGGGUAGAGCACUGUUAUGGCUAGGGGGUGCAUAAGUACUUACCAAACCAUUGCAAACUCCGAAUACCGAGAAAUGCAAUUACGGGAGACAGACUGCGGGUGCUAACGUCCGUAGUCAAGAGGGAAACAACCCAGACCGACAGCUAAGGUCCCAAAUGACGUGCUAAGUGGAAAACGAAGUGGGAAGGCACAGACAGCCAGGAGGUUGGCUUAGAAGCAGCCAUCCUUUAAAGAAAGCGUAAUAGCUCACUGGUCGAGUCGUCCUGCGCGGAAGAUGUAACGGGGCUAAGCACGUAACCGAAGCUUCGGAUGCGUACACUUCACUUUAGAUAAUUCGAUGUUAGAAGGCGCUUUUGCCGCAGGCUUAAGCGUAGCUUCAGUGCAGACUAACCGUUAGGUUAAGUCGAAGCUAAAGCGCCUGACACACUGGUAGAGAUACUGGUGAGGUUGAGUUGUUUAAAGGAAGUGUACGCAUGGUAGGAGAGCGUUCUGUAGGCCUGCGAAGGUGUGCUGUGAGGCAUGCUGGAGGUAUCAGAAGUGCGAAUGCUGACAUGAGUAGCGAUAAAGGGGGUGAAAAGCCCCCUCGCCGAAAGCCCAAGGUUUCCUGCGCAACGUUCAUCGGCGCAGGGUGAGUCGGCCCCUAAGGUGAGGCAGAGAUGCGUAGCUGAUGGGAAACAGGUUAAUAUUCCUGUACCUCUAUACAAUGCGAUGUGGGGACGGAGAAGGUUAGGUCAGCCGGGUGUUGGAUAUCCCGGUUCAAGCGUGUAGGUUGGUUCUUUAGGCAAAUCCGGAGAGCCAAGACUGAGACGUGAUAACGAGUCUACUUGUAGACGAAGUGAUUGAUACCAUGCUUCCAAGAAAAGCCACUAAGCUUCAGUUGUAUAAGACCGUACCGCAAACCGACACAGGUGGGCAGGAUGAGAAUUCUAAGGCGCUUGAGAGAACUCGAGAGAAGGAACUCGGCAAAAUAGCACCGUAACUUCGGGAGAAGGUGCGCCCCGGUAGUGUGAAGAGAUUUACUCUUGGAGCAUGAUGGGGUUGCAGUGAAAAGGUGGCUGCGACUGUUUAAUAAAAACAUAGCACUCUGCUAACACGAAAGUGGACGUAUAGGGUGUGACGCCUGCCCGGUGCUGGAAGAUUAAAUGAUGGGGUGCAAGCUCUUGAUUGAAGUCCCCGUAAACGGCGGCCGUAACUAUAACGGUCCUAAGGUAGCGAAAUUCCUUGUCGGGUAAGUUCCGACCCGCACGAAUGGCGUAACGAUGGCCACACUGUCUCCUCUCGGGACUCAGCGAAGUUGAAGUGGUUGUGAAGAUGCAAUCUACCCGCGGCUAGACGGAAAGACCCCAUGAACCUUUACUGUAGCUUUACAUUGGACUUUGACAGGAUUUGUGUAGGAUAGGUGGGAGACGUUGAGAUAGGGACGCUAGUUCUUAUGGAGUCGACCUUGAAAUACCACCCUGAUGUUGUUGAGGUUCUAACCUAGGUCCAUAAUCUGGAUCGGGGACCGUGUAUGGUGGGCAGUUUGACUGGGGCGGUCUCCUCCCAAAGAGUAACGGAGGAGUGCGAAGGUAACCUAGGUACGGUCGGAAAUCGUACUGAUAGUGCAAUGGCAUAAGGUUGCUUGACUGCGAGACGGACAGGUCGAGCAGGUGCGAAAGCAGGUCAUAGUGAUCCGGUGGUUCUGUAUGGAAGGGCCAUCGCUCAACGGAUAAAAGGUACUCUGGGGAUAACAGGCUGAUUCCUCCCAAGAGUUCAUAUCGACGGGGGAGUUUGGCACCUCGAUGUCGGCUCAUCACAUCCUGGGGCUGUAGCCGGUCCCAAGGGUAUGGCUGUUCGCCAUUUAAAGUGGUACGUGAGCUGGGUUUAAAACGUCGUGAGACAGUUUGGUCCCUAUCUGCCGUGGGCGUUGGAAAUUUGAGAGGAGCUGCUCCUAGUACGAGAGGACCGGAGUGGACACACCUCUGGUGCACCGGUUAUCACGCCAGUGGUAUCGCCGGGUAGCUAAGUGUGGAAGAGAUAAACGCUGAAAGCAUCUAAGCGUGAAACUCGCCUUGAGAUGAGAUUUCCCUGGGGGUAUAACCCCCCUAAAGAGUCGUUCUAGACCAGGACGUUGAUAGGUCAGGUGUGGAAGCCCUGUAAGGGGUGAAGCUAACUGAUACUAAUUGCUCGUGAGGCUUGAUC